UCGGGGAUCGUCCAACGGCAGGACUCUGGACUCUGACUCCAGCUAUCUAGGUUCGAAUCCUAGUCCCCGAG
rnacentral:tRNA from 1 species